GUAUUGUAUAAAAGGAGAGAUUAGCAUUCCCCUUGACAAGAGGAAUAGAAAAUCAAAUACUUGU
rnacentral:ncRNA from 1 species